rnacentral:rRNA from 1 species
CNCUACCCUAUGUGACGUUACCAAACUGUUGCCUCGGCGGGUCAUUCAUGCCCCGGUGCGCGUCGCAGCCCCGGACCAAGGCGCCCGCCGGAGGACCAACCAAAACUCUUUUGUAUGUCCCUCGCGGACUUUUUUAUAAUUCUGAACCAUCUCGGCGCCCCUAGCGGGCGUUUCGAAAAUGAAUCAAAACUUUCAACAACGGAUCUCUUGGUUCUGGCAUCGAUGAAGAACGCAGCGAAAUGCGAUAAGUAAUGUGAAUUGCAGAAUUCAGUGAAUCAUCGAAUCUUUGAACGCACAUUGCGCCCGCCAGUAUUCUGGCGGGCAUGCCUGUCCGAGCGUCAUUUCAACCCUCGAACCCCUCCGGGGGUCCGGCGUUGGGGAUCGGCCCUUUACCGGCCGGCCCCGAAAUGCAGUGGCGGUCUCGCCGCAGCCUCUCCUGCGCAGUAGUUUGCACACUCGCACCGGGAGCGCGGCGCGUCCACGUCCGUAAAACACCCAACUUCUGAAAUGUUGACCUCGGAUCAGGUAGGAAUACCCGCUGAACUUAAGCAUAUCAAUAA